rnacentral:rRNA from 1 species
ACUAAUUCUAGCCCUACCCCUCACCCCACCUAACUAUUUCUAUCUUAUAAAUCAAAACAUUUAUUUCAAUAAAAGUAUUGGAGAAAAAAAUUAUCCUUAGGAGCUAUAGAACAAGUACCGCAAGGGAAAGAUGAAAGAUUAAUUAAAAGUAUAAAUAAGCAAAGAUUAAACCUUGUACCUUUUGCAUAAUGAAUUAAUCAGAAAAACUCUAGCUAAACGAAUUAAAGCUAGAACCCCCGAAACCAGACGAGCUACCUAAAAACAAUUUCUUGAAUUAACCCGUCUAUGUCGCAAAAUAGUGGGACGAUUUUUAGGUAGAGGUGAAAAGCCUAGCGAGCCUGGUGAUAGCUGGUUACCCAAAAAAUGAAUAUCAGUUCAACUUUAAGCUUACCACAAGAACAAAAAAAAAUCCCAACGUAAACUUAAAAUAUAGCCAAAAGAGGGACAGCUCUUUAGGAAAGGAAAUAACCUUAUAUAGUGAAUAAAUAUCCACCUAACUUAACCAUUGUAGGCCCAAAAGCAGCCAUCAAUAAAGAAAGCGUUCAAGCUCAACAUUAAAAUCAACCAAUCUNAAACAUUUACAAUAAAUUCCUAUAAUAUAAAUUGGGUUAAUCUAUCAUUACAUAGAUGAAAUACUGUUAAUAUGAGUAACAAGAAUAUAAUUCUCCAAGCACAAGUGUAUAACAACUCGGAUAACCAUUGUUAGUUAAAGAACCAUAGAUAACAAACCUCUAAUUAAAUUAUCUAAAACUACACCCGUUAACCCGACACAGGAGUGCCUUAAGGAAAGAUUAAAAAGAAUAAAAGGAACUCGGCAAACAUAAAUCCCGCCUGUUUACCAAAAACAUCACCUCUAGCAUAACAAGUAUUAGAGGCAUUGCCUGCCCAGUGACUAACGUUAAACGGCCGCGGUAUCCUGACCGUGCAAAGGUAGCAUAAUCACUUGUUCCUUAAUUAGGGACUAGCAUGAAUGGCUAAACGAGGAUUUAACUGUCUCUUAUUCUCAAUCAGUGAAAUUGACCUUCCAGUGAAGAGGCUGGAAUAAUAUAAUAAGACGAGAAGACCCUAUGGAGCUUAAACUUAUUAGCUUAAUUAUUUAUAUUAAAAUCUAUUGAUCUAAAAACAUAAACAUAAGCUAAAAAUUUCGGUUGGGGUGACCUCGGAGAAUAAAAAAUCCUCCGAAUGAUUUUAGCAUAGACCUACAAGUCAAAGCAAUUACCAAAUCUAAUUGACCCAAAAAUAUUUGAUCAACGGACCAAGUUACCCUAGGGAUAACAGCGCAAUCCUAUUUAAGAGUUCAUAUCGACAAUUAGGGUUUACGACCUCGAUGUUGGAUCAGGACAUCCCAAUGGUGCAGAAGCUAUUAAUGGUUCGUUUGUUCAACGAUUAAAGUCCUACGUGAUCUGAGUUCAGACCGGAGCAAUCCAGGUCGGUUUCUAUCUAUUCACAAUUUCUCCCAGUACGAAAGGAUAAGAGAAAUAGAGCCCCCUUAAAAAUAAGCGCUCUUAACCUAAUUUAUGAAUAAAAUCUCAAUACAGUAAUAAUGUAAACUUAAAAAAUCUAGACAAGAUU